CCCGCCGGCCCAUUUUCCGACGGCUUGACCAGAAGCCAAGCCUAAACCCACACCUACUCCAACUCCGACGCCAAGCGCCGACAACAACAUCUGUUUGCUGUCCAUUUGAUCUUCCAAAAGCAAAAUAUGUAUUAAAAAAAAAACAAAAAAAAACAAAGUAUUAGUAUUAUUAAUAUAUAGAUCAAGAUCUAAAACGUUGUUACUAAUCGUAACAACAAUAAAAAUUGAAUGAUAACAAACAAAAGGUAUCGAUUUAUCUAUAAUUCUAUAUUGACUAUUUAACCUAACUUAUUCGAGAAUCCAACCGAAACUUUGAAAGUAUUUUCAAAGAUUUAACAAGAGAAAUAUAUACCUUGUUUCGUAAGAUAUCUCUCUCAAAUCUUUUCUUCUGCAGUUUCUUUGUACUUGUUUUGGUCCUAACGAUUCAAUAGUCUGAAAAAUCACAGAGAGUAGUGAGAACCGUGAAAACCAGAUCUAUU
rnacentral:lncRNA from 1 species